UUUGGCAUAUUUUCUACUCAUUUCUUUUAGGAGUGCAUAUACUCAUUUGAUGAUAUGAAACUGCAUGUGAUAAUAACAAAAAUUACGUUAUGAACUGGCAGAGGUUGAAUUGCAUUCACUGGAAUUCGAAGCCCAGUUUUUAAACCUGUGUGCCUUUUGUUUUUUGGUCUUGUGAAGAGACUAAUGAACUCCAAAUGAACUGUGUUCAUACAUUAAGUGAAAAAUAGGAAGUUUAACGAACAAGUCCUACAUUUCACUUCCAAGCCUUUGCAUUUCUCUAUUUAUUGUCUGAAAGUUUGACAAGAACUCUAGAAAUUAUGGUCAUCUAAUUUGAGCAUCCCACACAAGCAAUGCCAACUUGUCUACUCUUCAUUUUAUUUGCUUAUAAUUGUGUGCUUGUGUCUUCUAUUCUAGUAUGAUAGUAUCAUGUAUUAUUGUUAUGCUUCUGACAUAGUGGAGCAUUUCUAUAUAUUAGCUUUCUGAGCACAAGAUUCAUGACAGAACAUCUCUAGCCGCCAUCUGAAAUGGUGACUGACACCUUCUCAUGCUUCCGAACUGCCUGUUGACUCCAAAGUUCAGAUCUCCCACCAAACCUUGUAGGGUAGAAAAACAAGGCAACAAGAGUGCCUUUUGUUUUCUUGCCACAGUUAUACCAAUUUGGUAUGAAUGUGAAUUUUGGAGCCUUGGUUAGAGAACCCUGAAGGAUCACUUUUAACUCUUUUAGGGUGAUAUGUUUCCAAAGUGCUGUCAGGAUGUCUAUUGGCAUUUGAAAUUUUCUUCAAAGUGGCCGUGAUUGGUAAUAUUACACACCAUAUAAUAUUAUAAUCAGACACAUCUUGAGGCAUUGCCUGAAUCUUUUGUUACUGGUUGAAAGAACACAGUGGUAGGUUGCCGUUGUAGUUCUUGUGGAAGUCUUUUAAAAAAGAUCUUUUACUAUUAUGGUUCAUUCCAAUAUUUGAGGAAUCCUAAACUUUCUUAUUAUUUGUAGAUGAAUUUGGGAGAAUUUUUUGUGCAAGAGGACUAUCCAAACUGGUAGUGGGCUAGGUGGUCGUAAUUUUUUUGAAGGAGCUUUUGCGACGAUUUUGUGGGGCCCAAAGUUAAGCAUUUAUGUGCCAUCUUUAUUUGGUUAGAGUUAUAAAAGUUUCCUUAGUAGUAGUGGGCAAUAGCCUAGUUUCAUCAAGUUCAGACAAGGGUGUGAUCAAGGGAAGGUGGGUAAGGGGCUAGUUCAUUUGGCUUACCUUCAGGUUUUUAAAGUGUGUGUGUGUUAAUCUCAACAGGUUUUUGUCUUGUUUUCAAGGGAUUUUUGGGCUUAAGAUUAAUGGAGGUUAGAGCUCCAAAAAGGUAUAAAUUGCUGUUCCCUUAUAGGAGUGCCUGUUGGUUGGUUCUGAAGCAGGCAAGUUCCCUUAUAGGAGUACCUUUAGCUCCCCUAGGGUGGAAAGUGAGGAAUUUGAAUUUUUGGAACCAUCUUGGUUAAAAUGAGAAUAGAUUGUUUGCCUUGUAGGGAGUUGUCGUUUUUCUUUUUCUUUCUCUCUGUGAAAGAGGAAGACCUACACUCAUCCAUCAUGUGUUGAGACGAAUGCCUACCUUUUUCUUGUUGAUUUUUAGGAUUCUGAUCUUGGUAAUCCCAUUGAGAAAGUGUAGAGUGCUUUUGGGAAGGUGUUGACGAAGGGGAGAUCCCACCUGGUCAAGUGGCGGGAGGUGGUUUGAAACUGUUUGUCGAGGAGGUUUAGGCAUUGGAAGCUUGAGGUUACAUAACAAGGCUUUUUUUAGUAUGUGGUUGUGGUGUUUCUUCCACACUGGGGCAUAGGGUUAUAUUGGGAUAUCCAACAUCCUUUCAAGUUGUGUGAGGAUGGUGGUUGCUGGUGGAGAUUCUUAGCUAAUCUUCUGGAAAGCCUUUACUCGGGGGUUUCUCCUCUUUUCCUCAGUUUAUGCAUUGUUUUGUUGGGGAUGGUUCAAAGGCUUAACUUUGGGGGAUUGUUGGGUGGGGGAAGAAAUCUGUGUGUUGUCUUGCAAUUUUACUAUAUCUUCUAAGAAAAAAACCCUACAAUUAUAUUGUAUUUCAAACUUAAGGUUGCAUUUGGUAGCUCGAUGUUGUUGUCCCUUGUCCUUCCUUGCUUCCCUUAGACUUUUGGCGCCACUUUUUUUCCGGUCUUCUCUCCAUUUCGUGAGACCACCAAGUGUGCCUAGGAAAAACGAGUGUUCGUUUGUGGUCUCCAUAUCCUUCUAGAGGGUUGUGCCAUUUUUCUUUCACUUUUUGUCUGCACAUUCUACCUCCCCAAUUGUCUCUACUUUUCUCUCUCACUAGUAAGUUAUAAUUCUAAAUUUCUUAUGAAGGUUAAGGUUUGUGUGACAAGUUGUACAUGAGUGGAUACCUUGGAUUAUGUCCAAAGGGAUGAGCUUUGGAGGCCUCUAAUAACUUCUUUUGACGACGUUUUGUUGCUCCCAAAUUCAUGUUGCUGUGAUGAUUCUUAAUUCAUGUGUUGUAGGAGGAACUUAUGUCAUCACAAGUAGAGACUAAAGCAAGCGUUUGAUAUCCGUGAGUGUCUAGACUAGGUUACACAGCUAUGGUGCAUUCUUUGCUGAAGGCUUGAGGACAGCUCGAUAAUUUGUUUUGGGAUUGCCGAUUUUCUCUGUUCAUUUUGGAUUAUUGGAGAAAAUCUCAUUUGACAUCUGUGAAUUGUGAUGCUUGGGGUAGGGUGGUGGUUUUUGGCGGAGAUGUGUUUUUACACCCCUUGAUUAAGGAAGAAAGGGUAAAACCUUGUGGCGAGCUAGUUUUUUUCUUUUGAUUUUGAGGUGCCUAGGUCACCAGACAUUUUUGUAGUUGUGAUAUAUAUAUAUACACACAUUUUGGAUUGAA